AUGAGUGUUCCUUACCGUGGUCGUUUAAACAUAGGCAUCAGGGGCAAACUAAAUAUACUAGAAUUUCAAUAAAUACAUGUUCAUACUUGUAACCUAAUAUCAAUUGGAUUUAUCUGAUCCAUAAUCCAAAAAAAUCACUAACGACAGUUUAAAAUGAUACAUACGUUACUGACGCCAUGUGCAGGUUUUACUUAAAAAUUAACAACGCUCGAUCUCUUUUAGAGAUAAUGGCGGAUUUUUUAGUAAAUGCAAAAAAUACAUAUUCCCUUAUUACUAAUAACUGCUUCAUAAUGUGUAUGUUGGUGUUAUUACUAUUCCUAAACAAUAAAACAGAUAUGACGCCGAUGAUGGGAUACUUACGUUAUGCAUCUAUUCUACUAUGAAUAUAUAAGCUUGACGUAUGAAAAAUAGCGUUUUAUGUGCUUUUUAAGGUUAUUUCUAGUCUCAUUACAACUACAGGCUAUAAUAUUUGAUACAAGAUAUACUUAAUAGUGAUAUAUUUUUCACUUAAAUUUUCCUUAUGUAAAGAUUCCACUUUCCAUGAUACAAACGUUACCUUUAUUCUAAGACAUUAAAAAUCACAGCAAUUCAUGUUGAACUAAGUGUAGUUUUUUCAUGCCAAAACAGUGCAUGCAUUUUCAAUAAAUCUAUUAUAAAGCAGAGGUCCUUCUUAAUUCAAGUGGCUUUAGAAAUGGCAAAAUGAUACAAGCGUGAUCGAUACAAACGUGACCAGCCUAAUUUAAAAUAACAUAAGCAGGAAAGUGUCACUCAGUUUUAAUUGAUAAUGUCAUCACUUUGUAUCGUCUACGUCAUAAGAUGCAGAUUUCACACAUGUUAAGUCGCACAUUCGUCCUUGAAGACGUGUUGUCUUUUUCUGAAAAUGUCCAACGGGCUCCCCUGAUAACGUACGGUAUAAAUAGUAAGUAAAUUUGAUAUAUCUUAAAGUAAAACCAGUUUGUGAUUACAUGACAAUCAUAUUGUUUGUUUGAAUUUAAUUUGUGUUGUCAUACAUACUGAGUACGCCAUAAACACUGUACAAACUAUGGAUACAUACGUUACGUAUGGUAACGUAAGUAUCUUAGAUACUUGAUAUUUUAUUGACUCUCCAUUUUAUACAACAUAAGGCUUCUUUUAUUUUUUCUUUAAGUGAAGGUUCCAAGAUAAAACACUCGGGUGUUUAAAUUUGCUGAAAAGUUUUGUUUUUAACACUAUUUUUGUUCAAAACAUGUCAUGCAAAUUCUAUUUUUAAAAUAUGAUAAAACAUGCGUUGAUAUUUAUUUCUUAUUAUAAGGUUUCGUUUACAAAAUUGGUCGUAUGUCAUUGAAUCUUUAUUAUAAAGAAACAUAUUUGACAUUUUAUUAAAAACAAAAUGAAUGGAAACAGCAUACCCGUGGCACAAUAUAGGACAGUGAUCGGUAACGUAUGUAUCAAUACAUUCGUUAUUGGUGUAUGUGUGCGUAUAUCAGUAAUAAUUACUCGUAUAUCAGUAAUAAUUACUCAUUGUUGACUUGUGGUGGGUUGCACAUCAGGUAAAUAUGGGCUGAAGUUCAAAAGAAGUAUCGUAAACGUGAGAAAGCUAAAGGCAGUGCGCUCCUUGAAAAGGAGAGUAUCAGACAGUGAAAAUAUUACCUCCCUGCUAAAUCUUUGGACAAACAAUGAAGGGAGGAGAGAAAAUAAGAAAAAAACAAACAAAUAAACAGACUGUCCAGAUUCCGAAAGAAACCCAUUCCUUUUUACAAGGAAUGUAUAAUGUCAUAAUAUGACAUUAUACAUUCCUUGUGACAAUGUACCAGGUUUCUUUCGUAGUCUGGACAUUUUGUCUGUUUAUUUGUUUGAUGAAUAGGCUUUGGUUGUUCCAGCACGGGCCUUUAACCGAAAUGAUAAUGUCUGUAGUGCUGACUUAGAAUGUACGCCACUCUUAAUUAUUAACUUACUUCUGAUUAGUUUUGUUUUUUUUCGUUUUCUGUUAAAAUUGAUACAUCAAAACGAAUCUCUGCCGUAAAAAUAAAACAGCUACCUUUAAUUACUGUUAAGGUAAAAAUCUUCCAGUAAAAGGGCAUUAACUUUUGUCCCAAGCACGAUACACCUUUAAAUCAUUUUUCAAGAAUGUAAAUAGAUUUUAAAAAAGUCUUUACAGUAAAUACAGACUUAAUAAAACUGUUCAUUAUGAAAGAAAUUUUAUAUGUAGAACUUUCGGAUUGUGGUGAUGCUUGGUGCAUGAAUGCAGUGGUGCUCAACUUAAAUAAAAUCAUCUGUUCUUUAUUUUUGGAAAUAUUUCGGACACGGUGACUUGUGGUUGCAUUUAUUUUUUGAAUAUUUGAAUAAGCAUUGUUUGGCGUGCAUAUCAUUAUAUACAGCUUGGUUGUGUGACUCAUGGAUACAGCGACAAAAGCACUUGUUAUAAGGGCUGCCACCUUACAAAUAUACAAGAGGACGAGAUAAUCAAAGCCGGCUUUGAAAAUACGAAUCAUUAAUUUGACAGUCGUAAGAAAUAAUUAUUAAAUAUUUGUUCUUUUGAUUUACAAUGAACGGCCUUAAUUUGAUGGCAAUAUUGAACACGAUAUUUGGUGCCCACAAAUGAAUUGAUUCGUUAUACUUAAGUUGGGAUACAUACGUUACCAUCAGUAUAUUUCUAAUCAGAUGGUAAACCAAGACUUUAUUGUCAUAUUGUGCAUAAUAUUAUGCUGAUUAUAUGUCAACGGUUUCAUUACAAAAGUAUAACCACAACAGAAACAUUUGUUGUCAAGAAGUAUUCUGGUAAAGUUGUAUGUUUUAUGAUUUGACAAGUUUAAUACGCGUUAUGGUAGAUUUUCAUAAAUGUUUCCAAGAAAAGCUUUAUUAAAUUAACUUAAAUUCGUGUUAUCAGACACAUAAUGUUGGUAAAUAACAAUCAUAUUUGCAACAUAAUACAUCUAACUUGAAUAUAUUUUUCUCUCAUACCCAUGUCAUUCAAUCUAAUGAUACUUACGUUACUUUUAGUGUAUCUUAACUUACAAGCAGGACGCAUAAAAUAUUCAAAUUGCUCUAACAAAUGUAUAUGCUUAUGGUAUCGUAAGAGUGUAUCUAUGAUUUUAUAAGCCAAUUAUGUUUGCAAUUUACCUUUUGUUAAUGUAUUUAGAUAUGUUUUGUAACAGUUAAAUGUUCGUUCAAUAAAAUUUACUAGCGAACUUGCGAGGUUAUAUUCUUUUAUAACUCGAAGCCAACGUUAACUUAUAAUGUAAGAGGUAAUCAUGAUUAUCAAAAGUCGUAUACAUUGUUAUAGCUUCAAUCACGAAUAAUUUCUUGUUUGUAUGUAUCCAUAAAAUCGUGAAUAAGUGCACCUAAAUGUUGCAUAACGUAUGUAUCUUAAAGCAAAAAUACGAACAAGAGCAGUAUAUUUCAACAAGGCAUAACGCCUAAACAAGUGAAGUGGUGUUUCUGAUUUUUCACUAUCUUUUGUAGAAAACAUAGUAUUUUUAGUAGGUUUAACUUUUAAUGGUUUCUUAAGACAAAAAUAUUUCAAUAUUUUUGUAAGGCAAUUGCUUGUUAUUAACGACUUUAAUUUUAAAAGACAUGUUUGGUCAAGGUCAUGCGCAGCAUUUUUUUUCAACUAUGGAACGCCGUUUCCGCCAAACUACAAAUUAAAAACAAUUAAUUACUACUAUCGGUUAUAACUGACGUUAGAGGAUUUUUUUCAUUGAACGUAAUAAUUAAUUUUAAUUCUUUGUUUAUAGAUAUAAUAAAUCCCCAGAGCAGUUUGUGGAGAAAGAAAACAAGAAAGGAAUGGCGAGUUUCAAAUAAUUAAAACAUUUAACAUAGAGCAUUAGGUUGCCUUGGUCUUGAUGGCAGUUUGAAAAGGGUUGCAAGGUGAUGGUGCUGUUCUAAAUAUAAUAAAGUUUAAUAGGCAGUAAGAGAUUUUAUGUUGCUUUGGUCCUAUGACUUGGUGGUGUUUGAAAAAUUAAAAAAAAUGCUGAGGAUAUCCAAUAUAUAUUUCAUAAACUUAGAUAAACUCAUAGAUACAUGUUGGUUUGGUACUUGUGGUGUUUGAAAGAGUAAUAUAAAAUACUGAUGCUGUUCAACAUAUAUUCCCCAUAGCUAUACCCUACUACACAACUGGCGAACGGCAAAGACAGUGGGCUUUGUCCAAAUAUACCCGAUGUAGUGAUCAGUGUUACCUUGUUUGGUGGAUAUUUAUUUCUGUUGAGCUAAGAACAACAAUGAAUAAUGGUGUGCACUUUGUAGCUUAAUGUAGAUAGUAAGAUGGAUAUGUUAUUCAUAUAAAACUUGGUGAGAACUACAAUGAAUGAUAAGUAUACUUUUUGAGUAUCAAGCUAUGUGUCUAUUUUACUUCAGCUGUGCUGCGAAUGCGGGUGUUUGGAAAAAAUGAACGUUUUACUUUGGUAGUGCUGUUAAAGCGUACGCUGUAUCGAAAAAGUGACCCUAUUUGGUCGUGCUGCGAAAGCGUUUGCUGUAAAGAGAUAUUUUGCUUUGGCUGUGCUGAGAAAGCAUGGGCUGUUAAUUUUAGUCGUGCAUUAUUGCAUUGACUGUCUUUUGAAUGCUUUGUCUAUAUUACAUUAAUAUUAGGCUGUGCUGCGUUUACUUUGGUUAACAUUCUGAAAACUUUGGAUAUUUCUAAAAGAAUCUUUUGAAUUUAGUAUACUACAAUUACCUUCUUUGUUUAGCUCGAUUGGAAUGCUGUCAAAUACUAAGCCCUGUAUCCUAUAUUUUGUUUUUGUAGUUAGGAACAUGAAAUUAGUGAAUAAUUGCUUUACUCACGACAAAGAGUGAGUAAAUUAAAUUAUUCAUGUUUUUCAUCGUCUGCUAGCUAUUUUUGUCUCCAGUUCCCGGUAGUUAUUUUACCGUGUUUUCUGCUUGCAAUUCACGAUUUUCUCAUGUUUUCAGUGCACUAUAUAAGUGAUUGUUAACUGAUAUUCUUCACUCGAGGUUGAAUAUUUGACAGCGUAACAAGUAUUUUGAUUAUUUGUUUAUUCCCUCCCACCCACCCUUACACACAUUUAAAGUUUCUUUAUAGUUAUUGCUGAUGGCUUGUAGAAGUAUUCGAAUAUUGAAAGCAGACUUUUUGAUUGUGAAUCGUUUAGUUCUAGAGAGAUUCCUCAGGCCAGACAUUACGUCUCCAUUAUGUUCUGAUAGAAAAUAAGGUUCACAGUUACAUACCUUAUAUUUCAAGGGUCUUUAGACAUGAACAGUUCCUUGAUAAUUACUGUUGAGUAUUCAUGUAUUACUAGAACUUUAAAGGCAGAUAUACAUUUAACAUUAUAUGAGAACAUAUGAAUUCUUCAUGCCAGACUCGGUAUCCACAUUUAGAAAAGUGAUAUUCACAAGUACGCAUUUAAUUCUAUAUCAAUAUAUUUUUUGCUGUUUUUCCCCAUGCAAUGUUAUUCUUUCAUUUUCAAAUGUAAAUUGCCGUUAUCCUCUUUUGAGCUAGUUUUCAUUUUAUUUUUAUUUUACCUUGAAAGAAUGUUAUGUUUUACACACUGCACAUUUUUUCUUAUUUUGUGGUUGUUCAACUCAGCUGAGAGAGACCAGAAUGGCCAUCUUAUAUGCUGUUUUAUUCCAGAUUAGAUGAGUUCAAGUUAUUACAUUUGGUUCAUUCGGGACCCAAUAGAAAACACAUUUUUACAGUUUAGAUUUUCAUGUACACCUGAUUAUUUGUUAGCCUUAACUGUUGACAGUAUGUUUUCAGGCUGAGUGUUGUACAAAGAUAAAGAUAAUCACAUUUACCCCACUUCUACUGGUCGAUCAUCACCACAUCGCACAACAUCGUACCAUCUGACAUUUUCAAGACAAAUAUAUUCGUAUUUUUUGUACAUUGGAAUGCUGUCAAAUACUAAGACCUGUAUCCUAUAUUUUGUUUGUUGUUUUUG